AUCUGCAGUAAACAUUUCCCCAGGAAUAAGCUGUCUUGGACUCACCUGCUUCUAAAAGGCCAGUAUAAACAGUGGUACUUGACCACAUUCCUCCUCUUACUUAUAAGUUAACUGUUAAUAACAUUCCCCAGAAACAGAUUUUCCCCCCUGCAUUUUUACAUUCCAGGCUAUUUCAUGUCAGAACACAAUUGAAGUUCAAAUUUUAUUUUGUCAUGAAUAUUUUGGGAUAUAUUGUAUAUAUUUGGUAAAUCACAAGACUGUUGUUUUAUUGAUGGGCAGAAGACUAUUUUUGUUGUUUACUGUUUGGUUUUAGGGGUGGAGACAUUUUAAAUUAAAGCAAUUUAGCUUCCUAUGCCUCUCAUUCCACUGCUAUUUGAUUUUCUAAUAGAAUUGUUUGUUUCUUAAACCUCUAAAUGCAUACUGAUGAUGGCUUUUGUGAGCUAUUACUUGAUGGGGGCAAAAAUAUUUCAAAUUUUGGAGACAGACAUUCAUGAAGUGCUGAACAAUUCCAUUUGAGAGGCCAAAGCAGCUUAUGCUGACACAACUACAGAAGUUGAAAUCUUUACAGAUUUUGAAAUGUCUCUGAACAAAACACAAUUAGUUUAUAAAUUGAUGUCCAGAACUUCCAGAUGACGAUUGUUCCUCCUACCUUUUUGGACUCAGCCAGUGGGACCCAGAGCUUGAGAAACAAGUAAAAAUUUACAGACUCUUCUUCUUCUGGACUUCUCAUUUUCAUCCUGCUACCACUAUUAACUUUCGUGCAUACAGUGGGCUGGACUUAUAAGA